rnacentral:misc_RNA from 1 species
AUCUUUUUUUAUUUAUUAUAUAAAAAUUUUAUAACAUUCAAGAGUGGGUUUUAAAUAUAAGUUGAUCGCAAAACCUUGCUUAACGCUCGGUUCGCUAAACCAGUAAUGAUCCUUCCGCAGGUUCACCUACGGAAA